rnacentral:lncRNA from 1 species
AUGUAUGCUGAUGGCAUAUUGUUGUGUUUUUGUGCCAACCCCUAGCCUCAUCGUACCAUUCUUCAAAUUCUUUAACUUCUUUGAAUCGAUCACUAACCUUAAAGUUAAUGUAUUUAAAUCGGAGAUCUUCUUUCCUAGAUCAGUAAGUAGGGGAGGUUGUGAUAGUUUUCAUGUGAAGGAAGAUAAAUUUCCUUUUUUAAGUAUCUUGGGG